rnacentral:lncRNA from 1 species
GUUUUGUUUUUUGAGACGGAGUCUCGCUCUAUCACCAGGCUGGAGUACAGUGGAGUGAUCUCGGCUCACUGCAACCUCUGCCUCCCGGGUUCAAGCGAUUCUCCUGCCUCAGUCUCCCGAGUAACUGGGACUACAGGCACCUGCCACCACGCCCGGCUAAUUUUUGUAUUUUUAGUAGAGACAGGGUUUCUCCAUGUUGGUCAGGCUGGUCUCAAACUCCCGACCUCAGGUGAUCCGCCCGCCUCAGCCUCCCAAAGUGCUGGGCUUACAGGCGUGAGCCACCACGUCCAGCCCAUACAUUUCAAUUUUAAAGGGAUGCGCCCUAGUCCUUAGUUAGUCUCUCCUCAUCUCUAUAAAAUGUUCAGCUACUCACCUCUUGGGCUAUUGCUAGACAUCGUUUUCUCUUCCUUCUUUCUGACGCCUACAAUAGAUAGGACAUUCCCCCUCCUCAUUCUAUUCUCCCAAGUACUUUAAAUUGCAAUUUAUAAAGUUUCUAUGCUACACUCUAAAAAAAAUUCUGUUUUGUUUUCUAAUUUCAUAAUUGGUGCUUCACUGUGUCUUGUCCUCGAAGGAAUGAGUAUUUUGAUUGUGUUCAUUAAAUCUGAUUUUUCUA